GUGCUCUAUGGUCUCAUUAAGUUUGCCUCAUGGACUUUUACCAGCUCAGGAUCCGAUGAAGCUGCUAAAUCAGACAAGGAUAAGUGAAAGAUGACAAAGGAGCAGCAGAAGUUUGUCAUUCAAUCAUAAGGUGUCUCAUAUUUCUAAAGGGGUUUCAUGUGCAGCUGUCCAGAUCUUUGUCUUCUUUAUGAUACAUUUUGUUCUUUGUGUGGUGGCUGGAUUGGACUUCCAUUUUUACAGAGAAUUGUUUGACCACAAUAUCUUUUUUAUGUCCUUAUGUUGAUACAUGACAUGAUAAAACAUGAAAAUUCAGAGAAAUUGUAAAAAAUGUUUUAAUUUAAACUAUGAACGGAGGCUGUGCUGUUUGA